rnacentral:rRNA from 1 species
ACUCCUACGGGAGGCAGCAGUGAGGAAUAUUGGUCAAUGGAGGGAACUCUGAACCAGCCAUCCCGCGUGUAGGAAGACGGCCUUAUGGGUUGUAAACUACUUUUAUACAGGAAGAAACGUACCCUCGUGAGGGUGCCUGACGGUACUGUAGGAAUAAGCACCGGCUAACUCCGUGCCAGCAGCCGCGGUAAUACGGAGGGUGCGAGCGUUAUCCGGAUUUAUUGGGUUUAAAGGGUCCGUAGGCGGAUUAAUAAGUCAGUGGUGAAAUCCCAUCGCUUAACGAUGGAACUGCCAUUGAUACUGUUAGUCUUGAAUGAGGGUGCAGUGGUUGGAAUGUGUAGUGUAGCGGUGAAAUGCAUAGAUAUUACACAGAACACCGAUUGCGAAGGCAGAUCACUAACCCUAAAUUGACGCUGAGGGGACGAAAGCGUGGGGAGCGAACAGGAUUAGAUACCCUGGUAGCACAGAG